rnacentral:hammerhead_ribozyme from 1 species
GUACUACUGAAGAGUUCCAAACUGGAACGAAACAAUUGUCUGGUAC